rnacentral:rRNA from 1 species
CACGUGGGUGAUCUGCCCUGCACUUCGGGAUAAGCUUGGGAAACUGGGUCUAAUACCGGAUAGGACUACGGACUGCAUGGUUUGUGGUGGAAAGCUUUUGCGGUGUGGGAUGGGCCCGCGGCCUAUCAGCUUGUUGGUGGGGUGAUGGCCUACCAAGGCGACGACGGGUAGCCGGCCUGAGAGGGUGUCCGGCCACACUGGGACUGAGAUACGGCCCAGACUCCUACGGGAGGCAGCAGUGGGGAAUAUUGCACAAUGGGCGCAAGCCUGAUGCAGCGACGCCGCGUGGGGGAUGACGGC